rnacentral:rRNA from 1 species
CUACGGGAGGCAGCAGUAAGGAAUAUUGGUCAAUGGACGGAAGUCUGAACCAGCCAUGCCGCGUGCAAGAAGAAGGCCCUACGGGUUGUAAAUUGCUUUUAAUCGAGAAUAACAGUAACUACGUGUAGUUGUAUGAAAGUAUCGAUAGAAUAAGGAUCGGCUAACUCCGUGCCAGCAGCCGCGGUAAUACGGAGGAUCCGAGCGUUAUCCGGAUUUAUUGGGUUUAAAGGGUGCGUAGGCGGCCUAUUAAGUCAGGGGUGAAAACUUGCAGCUUAACUGUAAGCGUGCCUUUGAUACUGAUGGGCUUGAAUUAAGAUGAAGUAGGCGGAAUGUGACAAGUAGCGGUGAAAUGCAUAGAUAUGUCACAGAACACCAAUUGCGAAGGCAGCUUACUAAGGUUAAAUUGACGCUGAGGCACGAAAGCGUGGGGAUCAAACAGGAUUAGAUACCCUGGUAGUCCACGCCCUAAACGAUGAAUACUCGAUGUUAGCGAUAUACAGUUAGCGUCAA